UUAAGCGACUAAGCGUACACGGUGGAUGCCCUGGCAGUCAGAGGCGAUGAAGGACGUGCUAAUCUGCGAUAAGCGUCGGUAAGGUGAUAUGAACCGUUAUAACCGGCGAUUUCCGAAUGGGGAAACCCAGUGUGAUUCGUCACACUAUCAUUAACUGAAUCCAUAGGUUAAUGAGGCGAACCGGGGGAACUGAAACAUCUAAGUACCCCGAGGAAAAGAAAUCAACCGAGAUUCCCCCAGUAGCGGCGAGCGAACGGGGAGCAGCCCAGAGCCUGAAUCAGUGUGUGUGUUAGUGGAAGCGUCUGGAAAGGCGCGCGAUACAGGGUGACAGCCCCGUACACAAAAAUGCACAUGCUGUGAGCUCGAUGAGUAGGGCGGGACACGUGGUAUCCUGUCUGAAUAUGGGGGGACCAUUCUCCAAGGCUAAAUACUCCUGACUGACCGAUAGUGAACCAGUACCGUGAGGGAAAGGCGAAAAGAACCCCGGCGAGGGGAGUGAAAAAGAACCUGAAACCGUGUACGUACAAGCAGUGGGAGCACAGAGCAAUCUGUGUGACUGCGUACCUUUUGUAUAAUGGGUCAGCGACUUAUAUUCUGUAGCAAGGUUAACCGAAUAGGGGAGCCGAAGGGAAACCGAGUCUUAACUGGGCGUUAAGUUGCAGGGUAUAGACCCGAAACCCGGUGAUCUAGCCAUGGGCAGGUUGAAGGUUGGGUAACACUAACUGGAGGACCGAACCGACUAAUGUUGAAAAAUUAGCGGAUGACUUGUGGCUGGGGGUGAAAGGCCAAUCAAACCGGGAGAUAGCUGGUUCUCCCCGAAAGCUAUUUAGGUAGCGCCUCGUGAAUUCAUCUCCGGGGGUAGAGCACUGUUUCGGCAAGGGGGUCAUCCCGACUUACCAACCCGAUGCAAACUGCGAAUACCGGAGAAUGUUAUCACGGGAGACACACGGCGGGUGCUAACGUCCGUCGUGAAGAGGGAAACAACCCAGACCGCCAGCUAAGGUCCCAAAGCCAUGGUUAAGUGGGAAACGAUGUGGGAAGGCCCAGACAGCCAGGAUGUUGGCUUAGAAGCAGCCAUCAUUUAAAGAAAGCGUAAUAGCUCACUGGUCGAGUCGGCCUGCGCGGAAGAUGUAACGGGGCUAAACCAUGCACCGAAGCUGCGGCAGCGACGCUGAUGCGUUGUUGGGUAGGGGAGCGUUCUGUAAGCCUGCGAAGGUGUGCUGUGAGGCAUGCUGGAGGUAUCAGAAGUGCGAAUGCUGACAUAAGUAACGAUAAAGCGGGUGAAAAGCCCGCUCGCCGGAAGACCAAGGGUUCCUGUCCAACGUUAAUCGGGGCAGGGUGAGUCGACCCCUAAGGCGAGGCCGAAAGGCGUAGUCGAUGGGAAACAGGUUAAUAUUCCUGUACUUGGUGUUACUGCGAAGGGGGACGGAGAAGGCUAUGUUGGCCGGGCGACGGUUGUCCCGGUUUAAGCGUGUAGGCUGGUUUUCCAGGCAAAUCCGGAAAAUCAAGGCUGAGGCGUGAUGACGAGGCACUACGGUGCUGAAGCAACAAAUGCCCUGCUUCCAGGAAAAGCCUCUAAGCAUCAGGUAACAUCAAAUCGUACCCCAAACCGACACAGGUGGUCAGGUAGAGAAUACCAAGGCGCUUGAGAGAACUCGGGUGAAGGAACUAGGCAAAAUGGUGCCGUAACUUCGGGAGAAGGCACGCUGAUAUGUAGGUGAAGUCCCUCGCGGAUGGAGCUGAAAUCAGUCGAAGAUACCAGCUGGCUGCAACUGUUUAUUAAAAACACAGCACUGUGCAAACACGAAAGUGGACGUAUACGGUGUGACGCCUGCCCGGUGCCGGAAGGUUAAUUGAUGGGGUCAGCGCAAGCGAAGCUCUUGAUCGAAGCCCCGGUAAACGGCGGCCGUAACUAUAACGGUCCUAAGGUAGCGAAAUUCCUUGUCGGGUAAGUUCCGACCUGCACGAAUGGCGUAAUGAUGGCCAGGCUGUCUCCACCCGAGACUCAGUGAAAUUGAACUCGCUGUGAAGAUGCAGUGUACCCGCGGCAAGACGGAAAGACCCCGUGAACCUUUACUAUAGCUUGACACUGAACAUUGAGCCUUUGAUGUGUAGGAUAGGUGGGAGGCUUUGAAGUGUGGACGCCAGUCUGCAUUGGAGCCGACCUUGAAAUACCUACCCUUUUAAUGUUUUGAUGUUCUAACGUUGACCCGUGAUCCGGGUUGCGGACAGUGUCUGGUGGGUAGUUUGACUGGGGCGGUCUCCUCCUAAAGAGUAACGGAGGAGCACGAAGGUUGGCUAAUCCUGGUCGGACAUCAGGAGGUUAGUGCAAUGGCAUAAGCCAGCUUGACUGCGAGCGUGACGGCGCGAGCAGGUGCGAAAGCAGGUCAUAGUGAUCCGGUGGUUCUGAAUGGAAGGGCCAUCGCUCAACGGAUAAAAAGGUACUCCGGGGAUAACAGGCUGAUACCGCCCAAGAGUUCAUAUCGACGGCGGUGUUUGGCACCUCGAUGUCGGCUCAUCACAUCCUGGGGCUGAAGUAGGUCCCAAGGGUAUGGCUGUUCGCCAUUUAAAGUGGUACGCGAGCUGGGUUUAGAACGUCGUGAGACAGUUCGGUCCCUAUCUGCCGUGGGCGCUGGAGAACUGAGGGGGGCUGCUCCUAGUACGAGAGGACCGGAGUGGACGCAUCACUGGUGUUCGGGUUGUCAUGCCAAUGGCACUGCCCGGUAGCUAAAUGCGGAAGAGAUAAGUGCUGAAAGCAUCUAAGCACGAAACUUGCCCCGAGAUGAGUUCUCCCUGACUCCUUGAGAGUCCUGAAGGAACGUUGAAGACGACGACGUUGAUAGGCCGGGUGUGUAAGCGCAGCGAUGCGUUGAGCUAACCGGUACUAAUGAACCGUGAGGCUUAACCUU
rnacentral:rRNA from 1 species